rfam:Salmo salar isolate Sally breed double haploid chromosome ssa11, whole genome shotgun sequence.
UACACUUGUGAUUGUAGGUCGCUUUGGAUAAAAGCGUCUGCUAAAUGGCUUAUA